AUCAGAACAUGCUGUUUCAUCAGAACCCUGCAAAAAUGCCUCAGAGCUAGCAGGACCGCUCGCAACUUCAGGUAGUUUAUGUGGAGCUUGGAUUGGGUUCAUGUCCAGACCCCCCUCACCCCUACGCCAUCGCAUAUUGCCCCCCACCCCUUCAGAGAAGCAUCUGUGGACAACACUUUGCGAACGGACACCCUGACGAUUGGAGACCCACGGUACAGCAGUUAUCGUCAGCCUUCUUUGCAGGUGCCGUGACAUACACCACCGAUGAGAGCGUCCACCGCUGCAUCAGACGCAUUUUUAACUGUCCGAGUGACACCACUGCGAUCAUGGAGGCCAUCAUUCCCAGUCUGGAAGUGCAGUUUGCACCCCAACUGAAACUGAGCGAGGCACCGAAGAAACGCGGUCAUACGGUGCUUUGAGAGACGAGCUCGAGCUGACAGGGAGCAUAUUUCCAGCCCCAGGAAUGAGAACUGCUGGCUCGGGUUCAGUGAACUUUUCUGAAAGUUUGUCGAGAAUCCCAGGGGACAGCACCUGCAGCAGCUGUUUUGCCGCCUGCUCUUUGGAUCUAGCUAUUAAAGCCCAGUCAUCCAGAUAAACUAGAAUGCGAAUUCCCUUUUCUCUGAGAGGGGCUAGCACUGCCUCCACAAUUUUCGUAAAUGUGCGAGGGGCGAGCAACAGACCGAAGGGUAAGACAAGGUACUCGUAGGCUAUUCCGUUUAAAGCAAACCUCAGAAAAUGCCUGUGUUCUGGGUGUAUUGCUACGUGAAAGUAAGCAUCCGUCAGAUUGAUUGUUGCAAACCAAUCGCCUGGGCCGACAGCGUUCAAAAGUUGUCUCAGCGUCAACAUUUUGAAUCUGUACUUGCUAAGAUGCUUAUUUAACACUCUUAAAUCCAGGAUGGGACGUAGCCCACCUCCCUUCUUUGGAACAACAAAAUAGCAGCUGUAUCAUCCUCAGUUUGCUUCCAAAGUGGGAACCACACGCACUGCUCCUUUUGCCAACAACGUGUUUAUUUCGUCUCUCAGAACUUUCGCUGCUUCGGUGCCUAUGUUUAUAACUGAUUGGGAACCGGGGCGGCCUUAUCCGGAACUGCAACCGAUAACCCGUAGCAACGGUCCUUUCCAUCCAUGGGGAAAGUGCGCAUGCGUGCCAAAGAGUACGGUGCAGCCAGACAGUUGACCUGACGCACUGUUGGGCAAGGAGGUGCUGCCCUCUGCUGGAACAGAGAGGAGCAGCUCCGUUUGACUGUUGUGCACGUUAUGGCACAGAGUGUUUUGAUUUUGAUUUUUUGGCAAAGGAAUUGCACUCUUUAUUGAAACAUGUGGAACAGUUACACAAACAUUCCGAACAUUUUCUCUCGUAUCUUGAGAAACAUUUUACCUAUCCCUCCCCAGUGAGAGCGCCGCACAGCGGGAUGUGCGAAGAAUAUAAUCCGCAGAGAUUCUGAUCUCAUUUAAGAGGGGAAUCAGAUGGCUAUCAGGAGGUAUCUGCACUCCUAGCUCGGACAAGCACGUAGCUUGAUAAGUUUGAAGCAUGGUGGCCGAGCUCAGGGCGCGAGCAGUGGUUGCUUGUAUGUCCCAGUUGGACACCUGAGAAAUCGCUGAGUGGACAAUAGGCAUGAAUACGUAUACGCUGAGUCCUACUUACAUCACCGCCAUCUUGAAAGUGGCAGAGGAGAAAACGUGAUGCAUAGACUAGUUUAAACGGUUUUACAGUACAAAGUAGACCCACUGCCUUUAUCUUUGACAGGUAAGAAUUAAAGAUAAUAAUAAUGUAAAUUUACUAGCAGAAUUUCUUGACUUUGUGGCCAGUACUGUGCAUUUCCAUGGUUAAACAAACUUCUAAACAGCCAAGAAAUAUUUCCUUUGUAACUAAAUUGGCCCAGUUAACUACUCUGACUAUUUUCUUAGCUUAGCUAACUUUUUUAAUACUGUGUAGUUUUUCUAAAGAGGGAGAGGCAAUGAGAAACAUGUAGCUAAUGGGCGCUUUUGCCGUUUGUUUAUUGUUGCCAUGGUUACCUAGAAGUUCGUUAGACAAGUCGCUGUUUGUCUGGUCAAACAUGGUUACUUUAAGGUACGUCAGUUGUUUGUAAGAUGUUUCUUAUAAUUUAUGUAGAUUAAAAUCAUUUGUUUGAUAUAACAGUGAACCUGAAGUGGACUGAAAGUACAUUAAUCCAGAGAGCAGCGUGGAGACCGGGGGAUUUCAUCAGGACAGGUCCAUAAAGAUCAGAGCUGGAGCUGUUUUUCUUCAGACUUCUGUUUCGCAGCUCAUCUCCACAAUGUCUGUGUUUAGAUGAUAAGUAAAUGCCACAUAUGGUGAAGAUAUAUAUAUUUUUUCUGAAUGUGAAUGAAUCAGGGAUGUACAGUAGUUUCUAUUACACUUCUAUUGUUAGAUCAUUUUUAUCAUUUGCUUUAACCUGUGGCUAGCCAACUGUUCCCUCACUUCCACCUAAUGUUGUGUUCCGGGGUUCUUUGUUUUCUUUGUGGUCACUACUUACCAUUCAGCCUCUAGAUGGUGCCAGACUCACCCUCCUGGAGUUGUGUGCAGUCAAUCAGCGCACCUGAAUCUAAUCAGCUUAUCGAGCAGGGCGUACAAGAGGAGCUGACUGCCAGUACUUCGGCGCCUGAGUGUUAGCCAGUAACGGUACCUCUGAGCCUCCUAGAGCUAGUUUCAGUUAUCCUCGUUUGACUUGACCUCCUAGUGAUUUCUCCCUGUUAUUUCCUGCCUUCAGGUGAAUCCUCAAGACGCCAUGGAUCUUCCUUGAGUCGAUCUCAUCUGGUUUCCUGAUCGAAACCCUCCUCGUGACGCUGCGGAACGUACCCGCUGGUUACCCGAGUUUCCAAACUCACCUCCUCCGUCUGAUUGCAAGUUCCUCCGGGAUCCCUCGACUGGCAGUCGCACCGCUCCUCUGAUUCCGCUGUACCUGAGCCUACCUGCCUGCCCUCCGACGCACUCCACCUGUGCCUUCUGGAUUCCUGCCGUUCAGCACCGACCACCUGGACCCACAAAGAGACAAAAGACCCUGGACAUUUCAGUAAACCCGCCCAAGACGAUAAUUCUCAUCCUCACAAUGUGCCAAUCUUUCCGUGAGCCCGUUCCUUCCCUGGACCAGACCCGUUACUCCACAUUCACCAUUUGUUGUGUUCAAAAUAAACUCUUAACUAUAUACAUCUUCUCCUGUGUUGUGUUCUGCAUGUGGGCUAGAAAAUUGGAACCCAUCAUGACACCUAAUGUUAGACCAACCUGUUGCUUUCCCCUGUCUGUCCUGAUUCAUCUUCUCUUCUUUCUCUCCAUCCUCACAGCUGAAUGACAUUCAUUUUGUGUUAAGUAGGUUUAAAAAUACAGUAGUCAAACCACAUAAAAAAUUAAUUUUUAAAUGUUCUUGUUGGAUAACAGCUACUGUAUCUGAUCUGACUUAUCAGAUGCAUCACAACACCACUGUAGUGACAUUGAGUAAAGACAUUUAAACUCAAGUGUCUCCCUGCCAAGUCCCAGAAGAAGGGUCACCAACCUUUUUGAGUCUAAGGGCUUUGGUGACACUGAGGACUAAUUUGUUUGAUACACACAUAAACUUAUACAACUCAUUUUUAAUUAAAGUAUUAAUAAUAAUAAAUGUACAUGUGUGAAUAAAUUGCAGCCUAGAAAGCAAUUUAAAAAGAAUUAAACAAAAAAUAGGCCAAUAUUUUAUUUAAUAUAUGAGCCACUUCCACCAGCCUCUAGAACCGCCUAUGGGCUGCAGGUCUGAGGCAUUUUGUUAGCAUGUUUUCCUCCAUUCUUAUAGCUUGAUAAGAAUAAAGUCAGGUUAUCCAAACUGGGAACCCACAUUAAUAAAAUACUGGAAUAAUAUUGACCACAUAAUUAUCACGUAUUUAUAAAGGAUAUCAACAUUUUUCCUACACAGAUACCCUAACAAACUAAUGU